GAUGAACGCUGGCGGCGUGCCUAAUACAUGCAAGUCGAGCGAACAGAUGAGGAGCUUGCUCCUCUGACGUUAGCGGCGGACGGGUGAGUAACACGUGGAUAACCUACCUAUAAGACUGGGAUAACUUCGGGAAACCGGAGCUAAUACCGGAUAAUAUAUUGAACCGCAUGGUUCAAUAGUGAAAGACGGUUUUGCUGUCACUUAUAGAUGGAUCCGCGCCGCAUUAGCUAGUUUGUAAGGUAACGGCUUACCAAGGCGACGAUGCGUAGCCGACCUGAGAGGGUGAUCGGCCACACUGGAACUGAGACACGGUCCAGACUCCUACGGGAGGCAGCAGUAGGGAAUCUUCCGCAAUGGGCGAAAGCCUGACGGAGCAACGCCGCGUGAGUGAUGAAGGUCUUCGGAUCGUAAAACUCUGUUAUUAGGGAAGAACAAAUGUGUAAGUAACUAUGCACGUCUUGACGGUACCUAAUCAGAAAGCCACGGCUAACUACGUG
rnacentral:rRNA from 1 species